UGCUAGGAAAAGGAGAGAUUAUAAAGUUUCUAUUGAAGUUUCUAUUAAAGUUUCUAUUCUAUUCACAGUACAGUAUGUGGUCAGAAUGAAAAGAUGCAAAUCUUUAGUUUAUAAUAUAACAAGUUGACAGUUGAUUUUUUAAAAAAUAAUAAUUAAGAUUACUAGUUAGAGAGUUUGUUUUAAUACCAAGAGAGAUAGACGAAAUAUUUCAUCGACGAUUCAUCAUUUGUAUCUUUCUUAAGCUUAUUUCGUUAUUUCUAACGCAGUUUACAGAUGUUAUACAGAUCCUAACUACUUGUAUUUACUUUCAAGAAUAAAUAUCACAUUGUUUAACCGGGCAAAUACAUAUAACUUUCUAUAUGUACAAGUUAAGUCAAACAUCAAGAUGUACGCAGUCUGACUAAGAACGUACUUAUAUUAGUUAUUUCAUCGCUACUGCAAAUUCUACAAUUCGUUCCACUAUUGUUUUUACAUUCCCGUUUUCAAGCAUUAAACUGCGUCGAGAAAAAUAAUUUCACUGUUCUAUCGCGACAACAGUUCUUUCGAAACAGUGUACUAUAAAAAUAUAUUAAAUCACUUGUUUCGCCUUUAUUUUUUUCAUUUUCAUAUUUUAUACGCGUUAAUAUACUUUUACGACGCGCGAUAUAUUAACAACAUUAGCCGAGAUAUUAUUUUAACGAUCCUUUAAAAUUUCACAAUUUCUCGCGCGAACGGAGCAAGGAUUAACCUUUGCAUAUCGUCUCUCUAUAUCGAAUCAAUCAUCACUAGCGCAAUCGAAACGCGGUAUUAGAUGUUUUAGCCCGCGCGAAAUUUCAGAUAACUGGUAAUAGGAUAACCAAGUAUUCCCUGUAGGCGGCGUUAGAUAAGCAGGAUUCCAACAAUACAUUCGUGCCGAUUCUCCCCUCCCCAGGAUCAUUAUUCCCCUUAAUCUAGAUUUUCGAUUUUACCCUCGCAAUUUACCCCCCUUGGAACUGUGCAAUGAACUGUAAAAUAUGAUGCACUUUCUCAAGUGUAUCCGAACGAUUAAUCAAUGCCAUAUUCAAUCAAUUUUACAUUUUCUCAAUCCUUUCUCUCUAGUCUUUCGAAUAUUCAAAGUUAAAUAUUUAAAAGUUUUUCCUUCGACUUGGCGUAUAUGUUGUGUAUAUUGUUCCCUCAAACUCGUUCUCUCAUACAGGAUAAAGAAUGCUUGGUUAUGCGAGUAUAUUUAUAUAUCUCGUUACAUUAUGUACAGAGUUACAUUCUAUGUACGAUCCUUAUUUAUUAAAACAGCGGCAACAGUGACAAGGAUAUAUUACCUGGUUUCGUGCGAACCUUCUGAAAUAUAAUUUAGAUAGUUCGAGAGAUCCGUGGGCAGAGCAGUGUACCAAUAAUACCACAGAAUUAAUGGGAUAGAGAAGAAAUAAUUGUGUAAUUCUCGAGAUGAUUCGUCGUAAAUAACUCUCCCUUUGUUUCUCUUUAUUUCAGUUACACUCACGUACAACACUGUUCUAUCCCCGGAAUCGAAAGUUCAUUCGCAGCGAGAAAAAAAAAAAAAUCUCUUGCACUUUCUACUGUCGCGAGAAUCGCAAAUCGUUCGACGGAAAGCUUUUUAACCGUGCCAACGAAAAAACGUGACGAGAAACGAAACCCGGAGGUCCAGAGGAGGGUGAAAGGGACGACGCGCGACUCGGUGGUUGAACCAGUUGUUGAGCAGGCGAGGGUGGCGCAAAAAAAAAAAAAAAGGAACUUGCAACGGUCGUCGUGUCUUUUCGGUUUCGCCGGCGGAUUAAAAAGCGACGAGCGUAAGGGAGGGAGGGAAGGGAGGGCGUUCAAAACAGUGGAGGACGAGGUAGCAUGAUUUUUAAAGAACCAAGUUUCUCUCAGUUUGAAGAGGUGCAGUUUUCAGUUGCUCGUUAACGUUGCAGGUAACGUGAAGAUUCUUCUGGCGCCGAGAUACGUAUGUAGGGAUGAAAGGGUGGAGGGGUGAGGAGGAAGAAGGCCGUAGCCGAAUUGCUUUUCGCGAUACUCGACGUGAGGGAUGGAUCGAGGAAGGGAAGAGGAGGAGGAGGAGAAGGGAAGGGGAGGUUGAACGCCGAAGACAAACGAUGGAGAGAGGUUUAAGGGUGGAGGAGGAAGGUCGAGGAGGGGAUGUAAAUGUGUAAGCACGUAACUUUUCUCUCUCGUGUGCAAAUGCCUUCGGGAGCGUUAUGAAUGGUUGAACGGGCGUGUUUCCGCUCGGAGCGUAAAAAUAGGGGCGAGUGCAGGGGUUCGUUGAAGCCUCUGCCAUUAGCUGAACGAGACGUUAUGGUCGUUUUAUCCCUUAGCCGCGAGGAAUGCGGCUACCGAUAUUCAGCCUCCUUGGAAUGGGCUCGCGUCUCCGGAUCUUGGAACUAUUUCCACGGUCUUUCUUUGGAUUUGAUUGAAAAAAAGAGAGAAAAAAAAUGUGGCAUUAAAAAAUAGGAAGACAAAUUGUUACAGAAUUUACCUAUUUUCUGCUAUUUCCUGUCUCCAACAUGUCUUCCAAUGGUCGAUCAAUUCUAUUCGAAGUAGAAAUAUGAUGGAGAAUUUGUUAAAACGAAAACACCAACCGUUUUUUUCCGUCUCACGAAUGGAAUAUUAUUUAUUUUCGAUGAAAUUAUCAAUGUUAAAAGGUUCGCUAAGCAUUCGACCAUUUUACGCGCAAAAAUCCACGGUUGGUUGUUCAAUUCCGCGAUGAAAUAAAAAUAUGACGGGGAUGAGAAAUUUGUUACAGGGAUGGAAAAAAAGGAAUCGUUUAAAAAUACCGAUUUAUCGCAUCGCUAUUUAUUUUGUUACGCUCGAUGUUAUUUUUAAUGAAGUUACAUAAACGUUAAAAAUUUCAUAAACGUUUCGCCCGCGAUGGAAUCUUUGGUUGCCGGUAUUCGAUUCUGAAAUAAAGAUGCGACGAAAGUAAAUGAGAGGAACACAACGAAGAUAAGAAUUUAUUAUUGGAAUGAUAAAAAAAAAAAAAAGAAAAAAAAUCUCUGCUCUGGAAAAUACCGAUUUAUCGUAUCGCUGGAACACGGUUUCAACGUUACGAUGGUAACACGCUGGUCGAGCCAAGUGUUUUGAUUCGUCGAAUAAACGCAAAGGGGUGCAACGACCGCGAACAAGCGUCAUCGAUCCAUGGCGAUUAUUGACGGUAUAAAAUGGAGAAGUUUACGCGCGACGUAAUAAAACAAAGAAGAGGGGAACGAGCAACGAUGGGGAAACGAAGUUGAAGCGAAGUUGAAGUGAGCGGGUCGUUGCUCGUCGAGGAAUGGAAAGAAAGAGCGAUUGAGAGUCGUGUCCAAUUCAUUUAAGGAACUCUGGACGAGGAGGAGCUCGUUUUAAGCCCGUGGUUCGUCCGGAUUACAGCAUUCAACAACCACUGUAUGAAAACCAUCGCUGAAUACUCUCGUAGGAUUUGUCGUUUUCGAAUCGUGAAACUAUGAUCCGGAAAAGGGAUAACUCUUGAGUCAUAGGAUUUCCACGAGAUGUAUGCAAUCAACUCGGUGAUUCUCCGUCUUUUCGUAAUCACAAGAAAUCAGAAUUAUUGAACGGAGUCUCUGAGAAAUUAAUCUCUAUUUCGACUACACUCUGAUUACUCGUUCAAGAGAAAAGAAUUCGAGCACGAUAUUAAAAAAAAUCUAAUCUUUUGGAAAUUGGAAUCACGAGAUCUUGAGAAUAAUCUCUGUCGAGAGAUAUUAGUUGAGUAUGUACAAUUUAUUCAUAGACGGAUGGAGAUACUUCCAUUUAGAUUAAAAAGCAGAGAUCGUUACGUGCACUUUACGUUUCCAAGAAUGUUUAAUUUCCGAGCAUAUUUCAAAGAGGAAAUUCCACUAGGGCUCGUUUUUCCACGGACGAUCAAGGAGCAUUCCUGCUUGUGAAUUAUUUACGGCCGAAGAUGGUCCCCGCGCAUCGGUCAAACAUUCAUAAAGCUUCGGCACACCAUCUUUAACGCGUCUCUUUUCAAAAGUUGAUAAAGUAAACCGAACCAUUUCCCCAUCUCGUCACCUGUCUUUUCAUUAAUGGACAUCUCGGUCGUGUAAAGCUCGAUGAAUCUUUAAACAAUCGUUGACAAAAACCUUUGGAAGAAAGAUUCCAACAGCUUGCGCAAAUGACGUCGCUUGUGUGGGUGGAAUGAGAUCUGAAUAAUGAGCAUUCGAUAAUGAAAACGUUGGAAAAGAGUGAAAUCCUAAGGUGAAUUCAGAAAUGUGAUAUAACAAUCUAUGUUUAAUGCGAAGGAAAAAGAAGAAAGAAAUUUAAUUUAAUCAAUCUAAGGUUCUUUAGAAGUCAAAGACUUAUAGCAAAUGGUCAACCAAAGGCAAUUUAAUUAAACGUUAAUUACAGUUUUUCAAAGGAAUUCGAUAAACGACGUUCAACCUCGUUCAAUUCCUUAAAAAUUUCUUCAAUAAGAAAUAUAAUAUUACGUGUAAUUUGAUAUAAUUUACACGAAUAAGGAAAAAUUUAAAAUGAAUGCUAAUUUUCGUUAAUAAUAAAUCGUACAAUCUUUACCAUCAGCGAUCCUUAUGUUUUAUCAUUGUACCACGCGACAAAAGAGUGAGGAAGGAGAUAUAAAACGAUCCAAAGCAGGACAAAAUUAUGAGGUCUCGUAAAAGUGUUAUGAUAUGAAAAUGAAUAUGGGAUUUAUGCGUGUCGAGAAUCUGAUCUGGCACGAACCUUUCUGGGAGGAAAAAUGCGAGCAAUAAACUACUAGAGUAAACAAAUAUUGCAGCCGUGAAGAGAAGCAAAUCCGGCGUGAAAAAUCUGUUACUCUGUGAUUCGUGAUGUAUGAAAUUCAUAAAUAGUCGCAAUAGCCAUUCCCGGAGAACAAAUUUCAAUCUCAAUUUUAUCGAACCGUGUCACAUCCUGUUUCUUAUUACGUAAUUUCUUCACUCGAGUCGUUUAUUUACAUUAACUUUCCUCCGAAUUUAGAACUCGAAACCGUACAACUCGAAUCAUACGAGUUUCAUUGAGCAUUCAUUGGAGCACCAUCUCUCUCUCUCCAACCACUGCGUCCAUUCCAGCAAUAUGAAAAUGGAUGCUUUCUCGAGGAACAAUGACGCGACGAAACGAAGUGACACGGUAGUGUAAGACAGGUAACGCGAGCAGAGAACGCGAGGAGGUAGAACGGAAAUCAAACGGGAGAGCAUUGGGAAAGGGAAGAAGGAGAGAAAAGGGAAAAAAGAAAAGAGAAGAAAAAUGAUCGACCAGUAAUCUUAAUAAUGCUUUCAACCAAUCCAUUUCGCCCCGUUUCGUAACUUCCUUUCGCCCGGUGAAUUCACCGCACGAGGUAUCUUGGUCUGAAUUAUUCCUCUCAUAUAUUUCCUCCUUUAUUUGUUCCCGUAUUUCAUCCUCGGUUUAAAAAACACAGAAAAAUUCCAGAGUUUAAGUUCCAUGAUGAUUUAUCGAUCGAGAAUUAUUAACGCUAUUGCAACUAUGUGUUAAAUAGUUGCAAUAGUACGAUCCGUCUCAUCUUCUGAGAAUUUGGAUUUUAAUAGGAUAUGAUCGGAUUGAAAUUUACAUAUAAAAGAAGAAUAAUGGAAUGAGAAAGAUUUAUCGAUCGGUGUUAAAUAAAAUUCGUUUUAUACACACGUCUCUAUACCUCUUUCUCUUAUUUCUAGUCUUCUCUAGUCUUCGUCGAUAUUCGAUUAUACUAGCAAAGACUGUGCACAUAUUGACGAUUCGACUGUUUUGAAAACAAAUAAACCGCGAGAUUUACCGUUCUCGUUUCAAUAAACAAAAUAUUAAUCCAUGUUGACAAUAAACUAUAAAUAUUCACACGUCUGAAGAACGAUAAACAUCAUGGUAUCAUGGUAUAUACUUGCUCGAUCCCGUUCGAGAAUUUAUUACUAUCCAACAUCAAACACCGGUCCUGUUUUAAUUGCGCAACUUCCAACAUUAACGUUUGUUCUAUCGUCAUUCAUUUUCCAGUAGAAUGCAACCAUCGUUGUCGUGGCGAGUGUGAAACGGUUUAUACUCGGCUCGACGUGACAUUUAUUGACUUAUACAUUCGCUCCGAUUCUUUUCGAGAUAAAUAAAUCGCGCAGGAACACGUGCAGAUGCAUGCUUCGAUAUUCGCGAAGUCUGUUUCUUCUUUGAUGAUUUUGAAAGUAAGUGAUGAACGAUCGAUUGUAUAAACUCUGCAAAAGAUAAUAACCGAUGGAAAGAAACCAAGUUGUUUAAACGGUGUUCAAAUCUUUACUCGGAUCGCGAACAUCUUUAAUCCACUACUCGCAACGCUUGGAAGAAUAUUCGAAGAACAUUGGAAGAGAAUUACGAAAGAUGGAAGGCUUUUAUAUAAUUAUGAAAAAGAGGAAAGACUUGCAAUUCGUAAAAUAUCUAUAAAUUUGUAUUUGUUGUAGAAGAUGAUACUUAAGACCAGGAUAGGUUACUUGUCAAACCUGGUACCUUUGCCUAGUUUUUGCUAAAAAAAAAUGGCGCUCAUUUUAUGUUAAUCCAUCGCACCGUGUUCUUUACGAGGGUGUACGCGCAUGAAUACGUCGGCAUCGAAAUAUUAGCCGGAAUUUUCCAAGUGGAGGUGAAAAAGCGCGCGUGAUAUUUCACCUUUUUGCGGAACGCAUUCCCCCUCUUAUCUUUGCUCGAAUAUUGCGAAUCUCCUCGAAACGAGAAUUUCUACAAGUGCAAAAUUUCAUAAAGUACGUAAUUUCUCUUUAUCAUCUUAAUCCUCUCUCUCUCUCUUUUUUUUUGUAUAUUAAAUAACCUUCGAAUGAUAUGAAUCUUUCUUUAAUAUACAUCCAUCGGUAUUAUUAAAAAAAGUAUACAAAACUAGACGAGAAUCGUACUCGACAAAAUUCCAAUUAUUUUUUAUAAUUUUUACAACGCGAGUUUCGUGGUAUGGAGUUUGAAACGAAAAUUGGAAGUGUCUCUGGCGAGAAUUAAUUCUCUCGAUAAAAGAAGGAAGUCCGUGAAGGAAGAUUUAAAAGAGAUUUCCAUUUCAAGCACCUCGGUAAACUGAGGCAAUCGUUAUCUAAUCGCGUAUCCGUAAAGAAGGAUCUUUCACGCUCCCCGCUAAUUACCCUGUAAUUAGAGGUUCUUUUGACUGCGAGCAAUCGGCUGGAAAGUUUCCACUAAUAAGUCCUUCCUCGACUUACUCUAAUUCACCUUUCUCUCUCUCUCUCUCUCUCUCUCUCUCUCUCUCUCUUUCGAGAGAGAACGAGAGAAAGAGAUUCAUUUUCCACCCUAAUCCUUGUUAUUUUCCUAGGGAAGAAAUUAUCCUAGGAAAGAUAUUAUUUCAUCAGAAGAUACAUCCUUUGUAGCUUACAUAUUUUUGACAAAUCGUUUGUAUCUCUUUCGAAUGAAUUCAAUGUGCAUACUGAAUUUUCGUGAAAUUAGACAAUAUAGGGAAAGAAAGAAAUUUCAUUAAAGUGUGGAAUUCGUGAAAGUUAUUUUUUCGUAUCAUCGUGCGAGAUGAAAUAUUCAAAAUUUGCGGUAAUUUACAGGGACAAUGUAAAUGGUGGAAAUUGGAUCGCGCAAGGCAUGUACCCCUUCCUCUUCGUUACGUUAAUAAUCAUAAUAGAAUCUCGAUGAAGAAUGGGAAGCGAGGCGAUACUGACAACGUUUAUACCAAUUCUCGUCGCGUUGGUUGUGAUCGACCAAUAUUUGAACCGUUUCAACCGUUUCAUUCCCAAAAGAGACGAGAGGAGAGAUAAUUCGUGAUUGGGAGAGUGAUAAAGUAACGAGUUAUCGAUUUGCCGGCUAGCGGCCGCUAUGAAUAUUCAGAAUCCUUGACAGGCGAAUUAAAACAAAAAAAAAAGAAAAAAAAGAGGAUAUGAAGAAUCCAGGGGAUGGCGGAGUGUCCAGGAGGAAAGGGACUUAUCUUUCAGUCCACAAAUUUUCGAUCGAUGCGCCGAAGAUAUUCCAGGAAUUUUCUCAUUUUCGCUCCUCCUGUCUGCCCCUCUCGCUUCAAAGAAAGAAAGAAAAAGGAAGGGGAAGGGGAAAAAAUCAAAAUUUCCAAAAAUUAAGUUUCUCGAUGCGAAGCCCCUUUUUUGGAAAAAGGAAAAACUCAUUUCCUGCAGAGAGACGAGCUCUACGAUAAAUAAAUUUUGUUGUUGAAUGAAAGAAUUACGCUAUUCCUCUCUCUUUCUAUUGAAGAUGAGUAAAAUUCGAGGAAUCUAAAAAAAAAGAAAAAGAAAAUACAAGUUCAACAGGACGACAGUUUUUCAAAACGUCGCGUUACGACUACGUUUCUCGACUAGAUUCAACUAGAUGCAAUUUACACUGUUAUAUACACGUUCGAUACACGACGUCACGACGAAUAUCGCGCGCUAUCGAUUUCAUAUCCCUUUCUUUUUUUUUCUUCUUUCACCAACAAAUAUACGCAAAUGCAAAUAUCUGUAAACGUACGCCACCGCAAAUAUUUAACAAUAUGGACUACUGGUUAUUUCCUCAUUUAUGCUCGGCGAACGCAUGGAUUGCGCCGCACUUCAGCCCCGUUCGAAACAAUAAAUUAACAAACUGUGAUGAACAUCGGCUGGCAAAUAUAAUUUCCCCGAGAAUCUCAGAAUCUGUCAACUCGCCGCUAUUAUCCGCAAGUGUGCCACGCUCGAAAUCACGCACGCUACCCCCGAAACAGAUCGCGCACUCGGAUCAAGUUGAUUCGACCGUGAAUAUCGCGAUAUUAACUUGUUUAAACUGUUUCAAAUUAUUACAAAUUCGUAAUUCGUAAGCGGAGAUGUGUUAACGCACAAAUGUGUUUGAUGGAAAAAGUAAAAAUUGCCGAAUACUUAUGCUGUUUAUAGUACGAUACGUGUUUUUCAAAAAGAAAUUCAUUUCAUGAUAAACAAUUAUCGUAUUUGGACGAACUAUAACUAUAAUCAUGAUCAAUAAUUAAUAAAGAAAUAUAAGAAGAUAUAUAGAUGGAUAUAAUUUUUUGGAAUAUUUCAAUAACCAUGGUGGUAUAAUGUUACAACGGAUAUAUGGUGCAAGCAUGUAUUUGCCAUUUUCAGUUACGGUCUAUUGCCUGCAACUAAUGGGAACGACGUCAAACGGCAACAUGUAACCCACAUGUCAGUUAUGAAGUCGGCCUUCCCUUCGAUUGUGUGUAUACGAUUAUUAGUGCGUGACUGUGCUCGUAAUGCAGUUGCAGUUGCGAUCGAUACGAGAUCCUUCGUAAUGCGACCACGUACGAAUGUGACGCCUCUUUAAAACAAGCCCGGAUUAUCACAAGAGGAAACGACUGCUGAAACGGUUCAAAUUUACAUCGUAUUAUUAUUAUUAUUCUUCCAGAUUAUUUUUUUCCAACUUUACAAAUUUAACCACUCGAAUCCACGUAGGAGGAAAAUUCUCGAAAUACGUUUAUUUAAAAAAAUAUACGGAUGAACGAGCGUGUACGAAGAUAUUUCCCAAGCAUCGCGAAUAUACACCGUCAUCGCGCGUAUUGCACGCGGAUAGUCGUCCAAUAACGGAAGCGGUUCGCCCGGAAAUAACUUGGUGAUGAGCAAUAAAUUGUCGCGGGGGCGGAGAUUCCGCUGUUUGAUCGGGAAUCAUGGAAGCGGUGACAUCCCGGAAACCGAAUGGGAGACGAACAGAGUAUCCCUUUUUGGAUUGGAGAAUUCCAAUUAUGGGGAUCGCAACGUGAUUCAGGCUGGGAUACUGGAGGGAAUUCUUGCAGAAAAUUAAGCGAGUUUGCGAGGCGAGAUAAUUAAACGUCUCGAAUUUUUCCCCGCGUUAUUUCCAUAAUUUAAUCCAUAGUUUAGCGGUUUUAAGAAGCGGUUUUGGAAUAAAUCGACGAAUAUCUCGAACUCGUGAUCGGAAGUUCUUCAGAAUUCUAUUUUUUGUUUGUUUAACUCGCUCGUGCGGAAUUUAUGGAAUGCGAGAAAAUUGCUUCGGGAAAUUAGCAUGGCAAAUUGCGCUUUAUUAUGAUUUAACGCCUGAUCCUAUGAUAAAACUGGCAUCGAUUAACCAUCCGCAACAGAUUUCUGCAUUCAGAUUUUAUAAACGGAACGGGAUAAUCGUUCGAUCGAAUUUAUCGUAUCGAGCUUCCGUGUUUCAUCGUACGUUUCAUUCGAUGGACGAACUUUUGAUCGGAUAAUUAAAGAAGAGGGAGGAGGAGGAGGAGGAGGAGGAGAAGAGAAUUGCUCGAAGACGAGGGAAUAUGAAUCGGUCGAGAAAGAAAAUGAUGGAAUGAAAAUUCGUUCCAUCACCGAGCUUUCCAUUUAAAUUCACGGAAUUCGCGUUUAAUAGAUUUUAAAUCGCUCGAAAAAUCUGGUUGGUUGGAAAAAAGUGGCCAUCCACCACCAUUCAUCGUUAGAUGCAAACUUGGUGGUCGCAUUCGGGGCACGUGGGCGAGGGAAAAAGAACGUUCACGAGCUUUUCACAAGGAAACGAGGACGAAAAAGAUGGAAGAAUCCUGGCGCUAAUUGCUCGUUGCGUUACCUCGAGUCGGCCGUGCCUCUCUCUCGAUAAUAUUUCUCUUCUGAUCGCUGCCCAUCCUUUAGACAUCCUUUUCUUCGAAGAGAUCAAAGGGUUUGUUGCGAAAAGAAAAGAAAAACUCAUUUUCCCCAUUACGGACAAGCAUUAUCGAUCGUUUGGCCAGUUUUGGCAAGCGAAAAACUGGAUGUCCGAGUUUGAGGCCCGUAACAGGAAACUAUGUACAAUUAUAGUCGAGUUUAAUUAAUGAUUUCACGGAGACUUUACUGCGUUCUGUCGACAAAACGAAUCGCAAAUAGACGAUCGAAGAAACGUUUGACCAGAGAUAAGCCAGCACCGAAAGGGAAUGAAACAUUCAAACUUCCCUCGAACUUGGAGACUUAUAAGAAGUUGGUACGGCGAUGAACGUUGAUUAUCCAAACGUCGCUUAAUGAAAACGCUCAGUUAUCCGAGGGAUUGUUAGAGUACAGAACAAAUUUAUUACUUAAAUUAAAUUGAUAAUUCAGACAUGAUACGUGUAUAUAUUUCGAAAAUUCUGGAAUUAUAUUAUUGAAUAAUUCAUCGUGUAAUAACAUAUAUACAUAAUGAAUUCGAGUUUUGAAUAAUUGAAUGCGAAUUUAUAACGCUGUAAACGGGUGUAAAUAAGUGAGAAAAUAUAUAUCGUCAAUUAAUAAAUUCGUCGGCCCAAAUAAUAACGGGAGCUCGAUCGAUUUCGGUAAAUUACAUCUGAAAUCCAUAUUAAACGAAUUCUACAUUUAAAAACAAGGAAACGAACUAUGACUUCGAAUUUCGUUUCGCGAAUUUAACGUUAAUCGUAAAUCAACUCUGUCCCCGAUAUUUCACAAACACGUGUACGCGCGGAUGAAGAGAUUUUAGAGCCUUUAAAAAAAAGGGGAUCGGGUUAGAGUUACAGGGUCUUCCGGUAACACGGUUACCUUUUUCCACAUAGUCGUUUGCAUACUAUUUGCGCGAACGGCGGUGAUGCAUAUGCAUGCGAAGCAUCGGCGAAAUCCUUGUCUCCGAUGUUGGAAGAAAGUCGAACGACCGAGAGAGAGGAAGAGGGACGGAGAGAACCGAGAUAGAUAGUAGCGGACAGAGAUGGAUAGAAGGGAUAGAGCGGUUGAAACGACGAGAGCGUGGUAAUAUUCCGUAAUUAGCAGGGCGCAUCGUGCCUUUCUAAUAUCGAUUUUGCUUACACCGCGAAUAAUAAUGCCCCCCCAAUUAGGUGUAAUAUCGUUGGGUCGCGGUCGAUUUAGGAAAUGAAGAAUUUCGAAGGGAGGGAGGGUCUCUCAAGCGUUAACGUCGAUCGAUCGAUCGAUCCAUACUCGUUCUAUACGUUCUACUUGACGCUGCUUGCGAGUGCUGAUUAAUUACAAUAUCCAGAAACCUUCAUCGAACAGAUUAAUCUACUAUUUCUGCGUUUUUCGUCGGAUGAUCGAUCGAUGGAAUUCUGGUAUAUCUUUAAAAAUUCUUUGCAUGUUAUCUGCGUAUGGUGAGGACCAAAUUAUUCUUAAAUUUAUUCGUAAUCAAUUGAAAAUUUUAAACGGAGAUUAUAAAACGAGAUGGCAAACGUGAGAUUUUUUUUUAAAAAUAACGAAGUAACGUAUUAGAAUUAUGUUGAUCGAAUAUCAAAUAAUAUUCGUCAUAGAAGAAACAUAUCACCUGCGUGAUGGUAAACAUUAUUAGUCAAACUUCUGCGAAACUACGAUAUAAACACAACGAUGUUCCAAUACCUCGUGUUAUUCCACGAACCGAUUCAUUUCUACGAAACUAUAAGUCGCGUAUAUAAACAAUAACAGCAAAACCACGCCCGUGAAUUCUCGUUUCUACGUUAUCAGUACAAGUUUUCGAGCGGUAAGGAACGGACGCGUACAAUCGAGGCAAGAUUUCAAUCGCAUCUUUCUCUUCCUUUUAAUCCAGUAUUAAGUUCGGUCAACUGAAGUCUUCUUUCAUCGGGCCAUUAUGGAGCACGGGCAUUACGAAUGCACUUUGUGUCGUUGUGUUAUUUCCAUGUAUCUGGGGUGGAGGGUGUCGCUUUGACGUCUCGCCACGGCUCCCGUUUGAAAGAACGAUCGUCACAAAGGAGACGUUCCGUCACGAGACCACCUGCCUCGCCGGGCCAACCCGUACUUCCUCCUGUAUAUAACGGCGGAAAGAUUUCUCCCGAGUAUAGCGCGUCUGAGAAUGUGCAUUAUUCAUUCGACGGUAGCGAGGACCCGGUGGAGGAAAGUUUUUGACGCUCGAAUCUAUUGUGCGAGGGGAUGAUUGAUCGCGAGGAAUGCGGUUAGAGAGAUCUCGAUGACGAUGAACAAAUAUCGUGCCACUGUUCAAUCCUGUGCGUCCUCUAUAAAGUUGGAAUAUACACGAAGAUAGGAAGAAGAUGAUUGUUGAUAUCAUUCGAGGAAUUUAUUAUUCUGUUGAUAUCGAUUUGAAGAAAGCAUCGAAUAAUAGAAGAGACGGAUUCUUUUUAGAGUUCCAUAUUUCAUUCAGAAUUCUAUUAUCCCGAAUAUAUUUAGCGAUAUUGGCAACGUGUUAACAAUAAUAGACUCAGAAACAAUAGGGAUCCAUCGAUCACUAUAACCCGUCAAUCCAGAUGGAAGAUAUCGGGAACUGAUUAAAGUAAUAAUUUAUUUUCCCUCAAACAUCGCACGUGGACAUCGAUCAGAAGUUUUUGACACGUUGAAGAAAUGGAGACGAAAAAGAGACGGGUUCCAUUGCUCUAAGAAGAUCAAACGAAUGAAAUGGAACUUGGAUAUAUAUAUUUUUAAAAACACGGUAUUAAAGGGGAACUUUGUAUCGUUUUUAAAAUACUCGUUGUCAAAAAUCUUCGUGCAACGAAAAUUAUUACAGGGAAUCGAUAACGUGUAACCACGAAAUAAAAGAAGACAUUAAAAAUCGAUAUGCGAUUUUAAUCUAAACACAUGAAUAUUGGACAUCCUAAAUAUAAUUCAAGAAAAACGAAUUGAA